rnacentral:misc_RNA from 1 species
UCGAGUUCGGGUCCUUUGGGCCCAACCUCCAACCCCAUGCUAACUUCCUCGUUGCUUUGGCGGGUCGCGGUAGCUUGCUGCCCCACCGGCUUCGGCUGGUGUGCACCCGUCAGAGACCACUACAAACUCUUUUUAAAUGUCAUGUCUGAUAAACAAAACAAAUAAGCAUA